GAUUAUUCCUGGUAAUCUUUCUGAAAUAAAGAGCAGCAGGUGGAAUGAUGUGCACGAAACAGUGAAGGCAUGGCUGAAUCAGCCUGUAAGCGUCACUGAAACCCUGCACAGAUGGAUUUGUAGGAAUUGGUGAAGACUCUUCAGUAUUUAUCAGUUCGGGAUUUUGGGUUAUUUGCAUCACAAAAGAGUCAUCUGCCAAAAAAUCUGUAUCCCAGUCAUCAAAAUCAUCAGUAACUACAUCAGCAAGCUUACUGCAGACCACCAGUUUUUUCUUCAAAGAAGGACUUUGUUUUGUCAACAUAAAGGCUGUGGAGUGGACAUCAGUUUCACAUCUAGGGAGAUAUCAAAGAGCAUGGAAGAGGGUAAAAAAGGCAAACAAACCAGAAUUACAGUAACAUCAUUAUAUCUACAUCAUUGUCUCUCCUUCAUCUGCAGUGCUGUCCUUGCAGUACCACAGCCUGUAUUUCAAGAUCAUUCAGAAUGCUUAAAAUAACUGUCAGGUAAAUACAGUAUGUGAAGAAACUACCUUUUAACAGACAAGUGAUUCAGGGUGACUAUAUACCACAACUGUUUUCCAAAGAACAAGGACAGUAACUUGCGUUCUGAAAGUAAAACUUUCUAAAGUGGAGAUGCCACAGGUUCACUUUUCUUAAUGAAUCCUUUUUUUAUAGCACCUAUGACUGAAGAACAGCUAGUCAAAUGCUAUGGCUGUGAUUUUAACUCGAUCCUCUUUUAUGAGCAUUAUUACUUUUCUGCACAGUUCCUUGUUGUCAUUCUAAAGAAACUACUGUACCUAAAAUUACAUCUUCACUAAAACUGAAUACUGUAACACAAAUUUGUUUGAUUACUGCUUAUAGAGAGCAUUGUUUUAGAAAGUAAUAAUUACCUGAGGAGCAAUACGAUUAACAAUUUCUGAAAUUUCU